UUUCGCAAUGCCCGAAAGGGUGACGAAGCGACGCCGCGUGUGGGAAGAAGGCCUUCGGGUUGUAAACCACUGUCGGGAGUUAAGAAAUGCAAGGAUAUGAAUAGUGUCUUUGCUUGACUAAGGCUCCGGAGGAAGCCACGGCUAACUCUGUGCCAGCAGCCGCGGUAAUACAGAGGCGGCAAGCGUUGUUCGGAAUUAUUGGGCGUAAAGAGCACGUAGGCGGCUAUGUAAGUCGGUUGUGAAAGCCUUCCGCUCAACGGGAGAACAGCAUCCGAUACUGCAUGGCUUGAGUGCGGGAGGGGAGAGUGGAACUUCUGGUGGAGCGGUGAAAUGCGUAGAUAUCAGAAGGAACGCCGGCGGCGAAAGCGGCUCUCUGGCCCAUAACUGACGCUGAGUGUGCGAAAGCUAGGGGAGCAAACGGGAUUAGAUACCCCGGUAGUCCUAGCCGUAAACGAUGGGCACUAAGUAGAGGGGUUUU
rnacentral:rRNA from 1 species